GUUGCGUACGGGUAUUUUGAUUGGAUCCAUUUGCAUCAUUUUUUAUUCUUAUUUGUUGUGUUUUAAGUGUUAAAAUUAAAUAUGUCUUUAUGUGUGCAUGUGGUGGGAAUUAUAAAGAAAAAAAAAAAGGAAAAUAAAAUUUGGUUGGUGAGACCCACCUUAGCUUUUUAGGAGACCAUUUGGGUCUCAUUUCCUCCUCAUUCCCGUAACUCUCUCUCUCACUUCCUCUUCUUGAAUUUUCUUUUUUCUUUUGGCCAUAAAUCUUAAGAUCUUGAUUCCUCCUUCAAUCCUUGGUAAUUUUGGAAGCCGUUUGCGGCUAUUCGAAGCUUACGACGAGAACUACGAGUUGAUUGGAGCCAAUUUCAAUUUGAUCAUCAUUUAAGGGACUUCUAAAUUCUAGGGUUGAGGAAGAAAUUUGGGGCUUUUCAUUGCUUUUGAGAUAAAGGUCCCUAAUCCACACAAUCUUGCACCUUAUUUACCCCAUCCGCGCGAAUUGAUUGACUGAAAGGGACAAUGAAGCCGAGAAAUUUGUGGCUAGGAUCGAGGUAGCAGAUGUCGUCUGAGGAGUAUUUGGAUAAGCCAAGGAAUCUGUUGCUGGGAUCGGUGGGUCUCCUGUCAUAGCUCCAUCAUAGCCGUUGCACCACCCACCAAAUCCGUCGGCCAUAUAUAUCGCACUUCUUUGCACCGUUGCGUCAGCCCAUCGCCGUCACCGCCUUGCUCGCCAUUCAGCUCACUUUGCUCGCCGGUCCAUUCCAUCAUCCAUUCCAAGCUCGUCGGCCCAUUCCGCCAUCUUCAUAGCCGAGCACACCGUCGUCCGUGUUUCGAGCACCUAGUCGUCUAUAGUUCACCGCCGAGCCCCCUUGAGCUCACCGCCGCCUCCACAGUUCACUGCCGAGUCAAUCGAGCUCUUAUCACAGCCGAGUCCUCCGCGCACAAGCCGCCAUCAUCCGAGACUGAGCCAUCCCGCCGACCUCGAAUUUCUUUAAUCUCUUCUCUCUCUCUCUCUAGCUCUUUGUUUUGGGUUGUGUUGGGUGAAAAACAUCUUUUGGCAGGAAAAAAAAAUGUAAGGAGUGUAUAAGUUAAAACGACGCAGUGUGUUUUAAGGGUAAACUAGUCUUUCAAAAUUUUCGGUGCCGGAAUCUGAUGUCAUGGGGGUAAAUUGCAACAAAAUCAUAGUUCAGGGGGGUUUUUUGUAGUUCAGGAGGGUUUCUUGCAAA